rnacentral:rRNA from 1 species
UACGUAGGGGGCAAGCGUUGUCCGGAAUCAUUGGGCGUAAAGCGCGUGUAGGCGGCUCGGUAAGUCCGCUCUGAAAGUCCAGGGCUCAACCCUGGGAUGCGGGUGGAUACUGCCGGGCUCGAGUCCGGAAGAGGCGAGUGGAAUUCCCGGUGUAGCGGUGGAAAUACGCAGAUAUCGGGAGGAACACCAAUGGCGAAGGCAGCUCGCUGGGACGUGACUGACGCUGAGACGCGAAAGCGUGGGGAG